rnacentral:rRNA from 1 species
AGUGGCAAACGGCUGAGUAACGCGUAGGAACCUACCCCAAACUCGAGUAUAGCCCCGCGAAAGCGGGGGUAAUCCUCGAUAGCCCGUGAAGUAUUUUACUUCACGGUAAAGCUUUUGCGGUUUGGGAUGGGCCUGCGUCCUAUCAGGUAGUUGGUGAGGUAAAUGCUCACCAAGCCUAUGACGGGUAGCUGGUCUGAGAGGAUGGUCAGCCAGACUGGGACUGCGACACGGCCCAGACUCCUACGGGAGGCAGCAACUAGGAAUUGUGCGCAAUGGACGAAAGUCUGACGCCGCGACAUCGCGUGGAGGAUGAAGGUCUUCGGAUUGUAAACUCCUUUUCUUACCGAACAAGUUCUGAGUGUAGGUAAGGAAUAAGUGCCUGCUAACCACGUGCCAGAAGCAUCGGUAAUACGUGGGGCACGAGCGUUAUCCGGAUUUACUGGGCGUAAAGAGAAGCGUAGGCGGCUCAAUAAGUUUGGUGUUAAAUCUUCCGGCUCAACCGGAAACAAGCACCGAAAACUAUCGAGAUUGAGUCGAGUAGGGAAGAGGGGAAUUCCUGGUGGAGCGGUUAAAUGCGUAGAUAUCAGGAGGAAUACCAAGGGCGAAGGCACCUCUUUGGACUCGUACUGACGCUGAGGCUCGAAAGCGUGGGUAGCAAAACGGAUUAGAUACCCGUGUAGUCCACGCCGUAAACGAUCCCUGUUAGAUGUAUGUUUUGUC